UUGAGCAGGCAGGGCGAGCACCAGAAGGCAGAGCGCUGCGCAGAGGCGAGCAGUCGGCGCGGGGCUAGGAGAAUUACGGCUGCGCGCAGCUGGAGGAGCAGAGCGCGUAGGGGAGCUCGCAGGCCUGAUGAAAUCCGAGCAGAGGUGCGCGCGUAUGGACUCGACGGCGAACGGCGGCCAUGGGCGAGACGCGCGGUCAGAGCACAGGAGCGCGCACGGCAGAGAAGAAAUUUGAGCUGGGGCUGGGGCGAGUUCGCCAGGGAGCAGAGGAAAUCCGAGCGCAAGGAGGAAGAAACAGCUGGGCGGCCGAGCGCCAUGUGGGACGGGCGCAGGGAGCAAGCUUCGCGCCGCAAGAAAUUCUGGCCGGGCGCCAGGGAGAAGCGAGCGCCGUGCGCAGAGGGAGAGAGGAACGCCAUGGCACUGCUCGGCUGGAAGCAGACCAGAGAGAGAGAAAGGAGUGGCUGCGCGCUAGAGGAGAGAUCGAGCGACUGGGCGACGAGGAGAUAG
rnacentral:misc_RNA from 1 species